rnacentral:rRNA from 1 species
AACGAACGCUGGCGGCAUGCCUAACACAUGCCAGUCGAACGAGACCUUCGGGUCUAGUGGCGCACGGGUGCGUAACGCGUGGGAACCUGCCCUUAGGUUCGGAAUAACUCCCCGAAAGGGGUGCUAAUACCGGAUAAUGUCUUCGGACCAAAGAUUUAUCGCCUUUGGAUGGGCCCGCGUUGGAUUAGCUAGUUGGUAGGGUAAAAGCCUACCAAGGCGACGAUCCAUAGCUGGUCUGAGAGGAUGAUCAGCCACACUGGGACUGAGACACGGCCCAGACUCCUACGGGAGGCAGCAGUGGGGAAUAUUGGACAAUGGGCGAAAGCCUGAUCCAGCAAUGCCGUGUGAGUGAUGAAGGCCUUAGGGUUGUAAAGCUCUUUUACCCGGGAUGAUAAUGACAGUACCGGGAGAAUAAGCUCCGGCUAACUCCGUG